rnacentral:lncRNA from 1 species
CCCGAUUUUAGGCUGGCAAGAUGUGGAUUUCUUGAGGCCAAAGCUGCUAAUAUGUGAUUAAUCACAUUACUGCCUGACCUACGUAUGAUUGUGGCUCCAAGUUUCUUCCUGCGCAUAGUCAGUGGUGGUGUUGAGCAUUAUUUCUUCCUUUAAAAUUUUUUUCAUACCAUCUAUUUUGAUCAUUUUUCCUUCUUCCAACUCUUCCUCACGCAUCCAACUUUAUGUUUUCAUGUUCUUUUUCUUAAAAACCAAACCAAACCAGUCCUGUUGUGUCUGAAUGAUGUUGUUUCCCUUGGAGUUAUUCACCGCUUCUGGCUCUAACCAUAUUUCCGAUGCUUUUUCUUCAUAGACCCCUGAGCCUUGAGAGAAAGGGCUUGAUGAAGACAUCUAGGACGGAGUGCUCCAAUCUCUCUGCACUUUGGAGGACCAUUCUUAUUUAACUUCCCUGUCUGUUUCUCUUUGCUUUUUAGCGGUCCUGUCACCUCUUUCUUGGUUCUUCACAUUUACCCAGAGAAAGCCUCAAUGCCAUCUUACCCGAGAUGCUUCACUACAGUGCGUUUCAUGUACAGUGAAUUGCGUAGUUAAGUGUGCAUGAACUGAGCUUUGACACAGCAUUUCAUGCUUCUCAUGAGACUAGAAAAUGUCUCAGAACCCUGACAUACCUUGAAGUAGAUGGUGUGUGCUAGACUAACGAAGUUUGUAUGAAUUGGGGCUAUGUAGAGGACAGAACCCAAGUUUACGUCUUCUAUUUGAAGUUUCUCUCUAACAUCCCCACAAAAGGGCACACUGGCUGCAUACACUGUGAUCAGUAUCCGAAAGUUCUAAGUUAGAAGUCCUCGUUUAUACAAAGCCACAUACAUUGUGGAGACAGCUGUUCCUAGCUGUAAGGAGCCUUUCCUUGGUCUUAUUAUUUUUCUGUAACAUGUUCCCAUCUCUUUGACUAAUUAUCACUGGUAAUGAUUUUGGAGGUUUUCCAUGUACCUCCUGAUUGUUCCAGCAAAGUUUAUAUUAGCAUUAGUGCCUUGACAAGUUGGGCUCUUUCAAUUCCAGGCAACUGAGUGGCUUUCUUUCACCUGGUCUUGUCAAAGUAGCCUUUGGCCUUCAAUUAAGAUCUUAAUCGAAGAUUAAUUAAGAUCUUUCUGGACUCCAAGUCUGCCUUCAAAUACCUUUGAAAGAUUCAUGCCGCCACCUGCUGGCUUAUUCAGGCUGUGUGUACCAUUCAUUUAUUUAUUAUUUUCAUUUUCUUUUGUUGAGACAGGGUUUCUUCAUUUUGUAAUAGAGACCAUCCAUCCUUACCUGAACCACCGCGAUGUCCGGAUUAGUGAAUUGCAGGUACUUGGAAGGUCCCUAAGCAAAACAAUUUUGUGUACUUUGUUAUUCAUCUGAUGCCUAAAGAUAACUUAGAAUAAGGAGUGAUUUAUUUUGUUUAGUUGAAUCAACCAGAAGACAGCGUAUUCUUUGAUUUUCUAACACCUGGUAUCAAAUUUCUUUCAGAUGGCUAUCCAGUGUUUCUCAAUGAAUAAAAUUUGACAGUUCUCUAAGUUAACUGUUUCUCCAAGGCAAGCACUAUACCACUACUGGGCUCAACCUUUCCUUUGGCUUUUAGCAAUUAUUUUCUGCCACUGCUAGUAAGUAAACCGCUUUGCUGAAUUUUCAGUUCAAAAUAUGGAGUCAUUCCAUUGCCAGAGAAAGUACAAAAAUGCUGACGACCCAAAACUCUGAGCUUAAGCUGUACAACUAGUUCACAACUAAAUACCCUGAUAAUUUAGGAACUAAGGGGUCAUUUAGUGAAGUCAUUCCUCUGUUUCCUUACCAUGAGCUCACCAAUUAAUCCACAAGAACUUUUAGUCUCCAAGACAUACAAGGUGAGAUGUCCAAGUAGGCGAUAUAUAGAAAAUAUGCAUAUACAUGAUGUGUGACCUCACAUACAUUAUAUAAACGUUUAUGUGCCUUUCCCAUAAGCUAUAAAAUAGAGGAUAAUCCUUCAAUAUCACAUCAAAUAGUGGAAAUUUAGAAAUUUGGUCCGGUCAUUGAGUUUUGGUACCGUUAUAUUUAUUCUUCAUAUUAAUUAUUCUUAUUCAAGAUCGCUGCUUGAGCUGAAGCGCCAAUAAGCAAUCAUCCCCUUGUGUGGCCACUCCUCUUCUGUUCUCUCCGCCUUCAGCGCUUUAGUCGGUUAAAAACCAGCGACUGCGGCCAUAUUUUAAAGCAGUCUUCUGUGGAUGUGAGGUUUCUCCCUAUAUAACAGGGUCUCUGGGAACAUUUUUAGUUCCCCUACCACCAUGCCUUAUGGUGUGUUUAAGGAAUUAUAUCAAGAUUCCACAAAAUGCUUUUGAACAUUUUAAAUGUUCUGGUGGGCUUUUCUUGAUACUUCCUUCAUAUCUUGAUAUUUGUAAUAUUUAGGCAAUUUUUCAUUUUUUUUAAUGAAUAUUUCUUUGUCAGGCACUUUGUUGCCUCCUCUCGUGUGGACUUACCUUUACCUUUCUAUAUUUUUACUCCAUUUUUAUAUUUUUGCCCAUCGGGGCCACGGAUACCUGACCAUUGUGUCCUCCUUCCGUUUUUCUCCCAUGCCCAUCGGGGCUGUGGAUACUUACUUGCCUUUUCAUCCUUUCUGGUUUUAUCCCCUCUUCCUCUUCUUUUUCUUCUUUUUAGUCUUAGAAAACUUGCCCAUCCGGGCUGUGGAUACCUGCUUUUAUUUUUUUUUUUUUCCUUAGCCCAUCGGGGCCAUGGAUACCUGCUUUCCACACAAACCGAAUUUCUUGGUCCAUCGGGACCUUGGAUACCUGGGUUUAGUGUUUUUCCUUGCCCAUCGGGGCCUCGGAUACCUGCUUAAUUUUUGUUUUCUUUUCCUUUUUGCCCAUCGGGGCUGUGGAUACCUGCUUAAAUUUUGUUUUCAUUGCCCAUCGGGGCUUUUAGUGGAUGGAAAUAUGCUGAUUUUGUGAGUUACUGUCCUACUGGAAAAUUAAUCCUUUUUUUCCCUAUGCCUCUUGCUGCUGCUGCUGAUCAUUUGGUUGUGUGUGAGUGAACCUAUGGCUUAGAAAAAUGACUUUGUGCUUCAACUGAGUGAGUGUUCAGGGCGUGGAAAGUUCGUUUCCGCCAUUUUAUGGUUGCUGCAUGAUAUGGGCAUUCUCGAGCCAAUUAUGCCAAGAAUUAGGGAGUCGAGGUGGACAGUGGACUGGACAGAGGCAAUCAUUGUGUUAUCCACCAGCUAAAAGCUUUUUAUGUGUGGGUUUGGACUUGAUUUGUGGGUUUUCUUUUAAGAAUCAUGGUAACCGAAAGCAGAAAACCAAGGAGCUGUCGUGUUCAUGUGUGGUGUUAGGUGAAAUGUGCAGAGGGGUAGGGCUUGAAAUGGACAUUUCCAUAUUGCUGGGGAACUCUGUCCAGUUCUAAGGGGUGCUUCUUAUGGUCAUCAAAAUGGCGUCUCGGACCCUGUGCCCAAAAUUCAACAGUCCAACCUCUGUUCUAAUAGUUAUCAUUGGAGGUAGGGCAUUUAGGUUAUAAAAGAGAAGAUGGGGCUCAAGGUCUUGCUGCAGUAUAACGUGGUGGGCUUUGCUUUUCACAUGGUAGGUUGGUGGCUAAAUUAGCCCAGGGCACAAUGUGGCACAUGGUCAUGAGUGGCUAAGAUGGCGGUUUAUUCUGUGAUGAACCCUCAAAGGUACACCCUUGGAGGAAGUUGUGCAGGCUUGAGACAGAGUUUCUGGGGUCUUGGGCAUGUUUUAUGGGGUCUUGGGCAUGUUUUAUGGGGUCUUGGGCAUGUUUUGUGGGGUCUUGAUGUGCUUUGCCCAAGGUGAACUUGGUGCAUUAAGAUAGCAAGUGGUUGGUUCUACCUUGUGCCACUCGAAGCCCAACUGACUUAAUCAGAAAUGGGCGCUAUUUUGAAGUAUUUGCUGCUUCUUGACUUAACCAGUCAAAAAUGAGCACUACUACUUGGUGUAGAGGAUGGUAGUACACUGUGUGAAGACUCUCUGUCCUUCAAGGACUUGUGUUACUUUGGUACCUUACAUUUGUCUUUAGUCAUCGUUAUUUGAAGUGUCUAGCUGGCUGCGAGAGCACAUGCUUGUGAUUCUAACAUUUGAGGUGAUGAACAACAAUCCGAUCUGAGAGAAUUGAGGCUGGAGGCUCCUGAGGUUGAGGUCAAUGUGGGUUGCUGACUGAAACUUC